AUUGAACGCUGGCGGCAUGCUUUACACAUGCAAGUCGAACGGUAACAGGGUGCUUGCACCGCUGACGAGUGGCGAACGGGUGAGUAAUGCGUCGGAACGUGCCGAGUAGUGGGGGAUAACGCAGCGAAAGUUGUGCUAAUACCGCAUACGUACUGAGGUAGAAAGUGGGGGACCUUCGGGCCUCACGCUAUUCGAGCGGCCGACGUCUGAUUAGCUAGUAGGUGAGGUAAAGGCUCACCUAGGCGACGAUCAGUAGCGGGUCUGAGAGGAUGAUCAGCCACACUGGGACUGAGAAACGGCCCAGACUCCUACGGGAGGCAGCAGUGGGGAAUUUUGGACAAUGGGCGAAAGCCUGAUUCAGCCAUGCCGCGUGUCUGAAGAAGGCCUUCGGGUUGUAAAGGACUUUUGUCAGGGAGGAAAUCCCUAGUGCUAAUACCUCUGUCUAAUGACGGUACCUGAAGAAUAAGCACCGGCUAACUACGUGCCAGCAGCCGCCGUAA
rnacentral:rRNA from 1 species